rnacentral:rRNA from 1 species
AGCAGCCGCGGUAAUUCCAGCUCNUAUAGCGUAUAUUAAAGUUGUUGCAGUUAAAAAGCUCGUAGUUGAAUUUCGGGGUCAGUAGGUCGGUCGUGCCACUGGUAUGAACUGGUUUUACUGAUUCCUCCCUCUUGAAGAACUGUAAUGCCAUUAAUUUGGUGUUGCAGGGAAUCAGGACUGUUACUUUGAAAAAAUUAGAGUGUUUAAAGCAGGCUUUAGCUUGAAUACAUUAGCAUGGAAUAAUGAAAUAGGACGUUUGAUCCUAUUUUGUUGGUUUCUAGGAUUGACGUAAUGAUUAAUAGGGAUAGUUGGGGGCAUUAGUAUUCAAUUGUCAGAGGUGAAAUUCUUGGAUUUAUUGAAGACUAACUACUGCGAAAGCAUUUGCCAAGGAUGUUUUCAUUAAUCAAGAACGAAAGUUAGGGGAUCGAAGACGAUCAGAUACCGUCGUANUCUUAACCAUAAACUAUGCCGACUAGKGAUCGGAUGAUGUUAAUUUUUUAAUGACUCW